rnacentral:rRNA from 1 species
GGGGGAUAUUGCACAAUGGGGGAAACCCUGAUGCAGCGACGCCGCGUGGAGGAAGAAGGUUUUCGGAUUGUAAACUCCUGUCGUUAGGGACGAUAAUGACGGUACCUAACAAGAAAGCACCGGCUAACUACGUGCCAGCAGCCGCGGUAAAACGUAGGGUGCAAGCGUUGUCCGGAAUUACUGGGUGUAAAGGGAGCGCAGGCGGACCGGCAAGUUGGAAGUGAAAACUAUGGGCUCAACCCAUAAAUUGCUUUCAAAACUGCUGGCCUUGAGUAGUGCAGAGGUAGGUGGAAUUCCCGGUGUAGCGGUGGAAUGCGUAGAUAUCGGGAGGAACACCAGUGGCGAAGGCGACCUACUGGGCACCAACUGACGCUGAGGCUCGAAAGCAUGGGUAGCAAACAGGAUUAGAUACCCUGGUAGUCCAUGCCGUAAACGAUGAUUACUAGGUGUUGGAGGAUUGACCCCUUCAGUGCCGUAGUUAACACAAUAAGUAAUCCACCUGGGGAGUACGACCGCAAGGUUGAAACUCAAAGGAAUUGACGGGGGCCCGCACAAGCAGUGGAGUAUGUGGUUUAAUUCGAAGCAACGCGAAGAACCUUACCAGGUCUUGACAUCCGAUGCAUAGUGCAGAGAUGCAUGAAGUCCUUCGGGACAUCGAGACAGGUGGUGCAUGGUUGUCGUCAGCUCGUGUCGUGAGAUGUUGGGUUAAGUCCCGCAACGAGCGCAACCCUUAUUGCCAGUUACUACGUAAGAGGACUCUGGCGAGACUGCCGUUGACAAAACGGAGGAAGGUGGGGAUGACGUCAAAUCAUCAUGCCCUUUAUGACCUGGGCUACACACGUACUACAAUGGCGUUUAACAAAGAGAAGCAAGACCGCGAGGUGGAGCAAAACUCAAAAACAACGUCUCAGUUCAGAUUGCAGGCUGCAACUCGCCUGCAUGAAGUCGGAAUUGCUAGUAAUCGCGGAUCAGCAUGCCGCGGUGAAUACGUUCCCG